rnacentral:rRNA from 1 species
UACGGAGGGGACUAGCGUUGUUCGGAAUUACUGGGCGUAAAGCGCACGUAGGCGGAUUGUUUAGUCAGGGGGUGAAAUCCCGAGGCUCAACCUCGGAACUGCCUUUGAUACUGGCAAUCUCGAGUCCGGAAGAGGUGAGUGGAAUUCCUAGUGUAGAGGUGAAAUUCGUAGAUAUUAGGAAGAACACCAGUGGCGAAGGCGGCUCACUGGUCCGGUACUGACGCUGAGGUGCGAAAGCGUGGGGAGCAAACAGG